GAGUUAGAGGUUGCGUUUUUAAUCAGUAACAGUCCGGUAGCUAUUUGGGGCAUAUGUAGGAUUUGUGAAAGGUGAAGACGCCGAAACCAACAGUGACCAGAUGCGCUGUUGGUUGGGUCAGUUAUCGAAAGAAACUGGACUGUCACAUAUGUGAUGUGCUACC
rnacentral:ncRNA from 1 species